rnacentral:rRNA from 1 species
UACGGAGGAUGCAAGCGUUAUCCGGAAUGAUUGGGCGUCAAGCGUCCGCAGGUGGCUGUGUAAGUCUGCUGUCAAAGAGCAAAGCUCAACUUUGUAAAGGCAGUGGAAACUACACGGCUAGAGUGCGUUCGGGGCAGAGGGAAUUCCUGGUGUAGCGGUGAAAUGCGUAGAGAUCAGGAAGAACACCGGUGGCGAAGGCGCUCUGCUAGGCCGUAACUGACACUGAGGGACGAAAGCUAGGGGAGCGAAUGGG